rnacentral:rRNA from 1 species
UACGUAGGGUGCGAGCGUUAAUCGGAAUUACUGGGCGUAAAGUGUGCGCAGGCGGCCGCGCAAGUCGAGUGUGAAAGCCCCGGGCUUAACCUGGGAACGGCCGUUGAAACUGGCGAACUGGAGUGUGGCAGAGGGGGGUGGAAUUCCGCGUGUAGCAGUGAAAUGCGUAGAGAUGCGGAGGAACACCGAUGGCGAAGGCAGCCCCCUGGGCUAACACUGACGCUCAGGCACGAAAGCGUGGGGAGCAAACAGG